UACGGAGGGGGCUAGCGUUGUUCGGAAUUACUGGGCGUAAAGGGCUCGUAGGUGGCCAACUAAGUCAGACGUGAAAUCCCUCGGCUUAACCGAGGAACUGCGUCCGAGACUGAAAGGCUUGAAUCCGGGAGAGGGAUGUGGAAUUCCAGGUGUAGCGGUGAAAUUCGUAGAUAUUGGGAAGAACACCGGUUGCGAAGGCGGCCACCUGGACCGGCACUGACGCUGAGGUGCGAAAGCGUGGGGAGCAAACAGG
rnacentral:rRNA from 1 species